ACGGUAUGAGAAAUAUUAAUGGAACGAAAUUCAACGUUUGUUUAAUGAUUGUGAAAAAGAAAAUGUUAAAAAUACAGAGAAAAGUGAAGAUUUUUCCGAGGCUGUGGUUCAUGGAAAGUUUAAUGUUCUUGGCUUUUGGUCGGACCCUUAUCAGAGUUGAAACUUGGGGGUCGUCCGCAACGAACAAGCACUGUACAAUGCUCUACACAUACCCAUAUCUCGCAACUCUGACCUUUCUCCCGUCUUACGCAUGUCAAGCUAUAAGUAUACCCUAUCACGCGGAUCGAAAGCUGUACAUAUUUAAUUACCGAAAGCCAAGAGCCGCUGUCUUAUACAUACAGGUUAGUGUUUGCUUUGCUCACCAGAAAUGAAGGCAGAAUCACCCUUGGCGAAGACAUCAUGAACGAUUUUGCUUUUGGAUGCCUUAGAGUCGACGUAACCCAGGAAUGCUCUUGUUGGAUUAUUCGGCAUGAUUUUACCGAUGAAAACGCCAGGUUCAUCUGAAAACGAACUCGACAAGUUAGAGCAGUUUUUGCUAAUUAGCAACAAAUUUGUUCAGCUUUCAACAUACACAAUUUUAGAAUCAAGAAUUAUUAUUAUAUACGAUUGAAGAAACGUAAUUACUUGGCUCGCAGGUCAUACAAAGUCCCUUAGAAUUCCUGAUUGGCUCGCCAUUUGCAUCUACCUUAAUUAUAGAAAUCGGAUACACUGCUGGAAUGAUUCUUGAGACGAAACCGAUAGCUCCAACGGUGUUGUCGAUGUUUACUGUGGAAAGUAAAUAAUUAUGCUUAUGUUCGCUCUAUUGCAUUAAAUUUCUUGUACGACAAUUUGCCUACCAAUGUUAGCAUUUCCUUCGGUAGCUCCGUAAAAUUCGGCAACUUUUGCUAUUUUGAAACGAUUAACGAAAUCACUCCAAAUUUGCGGCCU